rnacentral:rRNA from 1 species
UAAUACCCGAUGUGCCGAGAGGUGAAAGAUUUAUCGUCUGAAGAUGGGCUCGCGUCUGAUUAGCUAGAUGGUGGGGUAAGAGCCUACCAUGGCAACGAUCAGUAGCUGGUCUGAGAGGAUGAGCAGCCACACUGGGACUGAGACACGGCCCAGACUCCUACGGGAGGCAGCAGUGGGGAAUUUUCCGCAAUGGGCGAAAGCCUGACGGAGCAAUACCGCGUGAGGGAGGAAGGUCCUUGGAUUGUAAACCUCUUUUAUCAGGGAAGAAAAAAAUGACGGUACCUGAUGAAUAAGCAUCGGCUAACUCCGUGCCAGCAGCCGCGGUAAUACGGAGGAUGCGAGCGUUAUCCGGAAUUAUUGGGCGUAAAGCGUCCGUAGGUGGUUUUACAAGUCUGCUGUUAAAGGAUGGAGCUUAACUCCAUAGAAGCGGUGGAAACUGUGAGACUAGAGUACAGUAGGGGUAGCAGGAAUUCCCAGUGUAGCGGUGAAAUGCGUAGAUAUUGGGAAGAACAUCGGUGGCGAAAGCGUGCUACUGGGCUGAAACUGACACUGAGGGACGAAAGCUAGGGUAGCGAAAGGGAUUAGAUACCCCUGUAGUCCUAGCCGUAAACGAUGGAUACUAGGCGUGGCUUGUAUCGACCCGAGCCGUGCCGAAGCUAACGCGUUAAGUAUCCCGCCUGGGGAGUACGCACGCAAGUGUGAAACUCAAAGGAAUUGACGGGGGCCCGCACAAGCGGUGGAGUAUGUGGUUUAAUUCGAUGCAACGCGAAGAACCUUACCAAGGCUUGACAUCCCUGGAAUCCCGAUGAAGUUGGGAGUGCC